rnacentral:lncRNA from 1 species
GUCACUGAUUCCAAGUAGAGAGAGCAACGAUAAUCGCCUGCUAUGAACAGACAGGCUGUGUGCCAUAACCUAUGACGGAAAAGCAUCAGCAGAGUGAGGCACCGAGAAGGAAGAGCCUGCGCAUACAUAACGUGAAUCCACAGCACACACGCUGAAAGGCAUCUAUCUAAUGGUUCUCUCCAGCCCGCUAUGGCAUGUACCAGUUAGAGAGGAUUCUCAGUAACCCUGCCUCAGAACCCAGCCUUGGUCAGCCCUUUAUCUGAUACAUCUCAUCCCUGAAAUGAGUGUAAAAGGAUCGACCCCUCAGGUGCAACAGGCACCUGUCCCAACUCUUUGGGGGCCUCUAUGUCACUUCCUUUCAUGUUUGCCCUUUCUUUCCUGCUCUGGGUCCCAUCAGCUGACGAAUGCACAUGAACCCCCCCCCCCAUAUUUCUACCUUAUACCCAUCACUCUGGGUACAGAAUACCAUAAUGGGUUCCUUGUUUUUUCCAUCUAUCAUCUCCCCCAACUUCAGACAGCUUUUAAAUAAUACUUUUUAAACU